CCUGCACUUCGGGAUAAGCUUGGGAAACUGGGUCUAAUACCGGAUAGGAGCCAUCUUUAGUGUGGUGGUUGGAAAGUUUUUUCGGUGUAGGAUGAGCUCGCGGCCUAUCAGCUUGUUGGUGGGGUAAUGGCCUACCAAGGCGGCGACGGGUAGCCGGCCUGAGAGGGUGUACGGCCACAUUGGUACUGAGAUACGGCCCAG
rnacentral:rRNA from 1 species